GACGAACGCUGGCGGCGUGCCUAAUACAUGCAAGUCGAACGCAGUGGGGCCGGGUGAGUAACACGUGGGUAACCUCCCAUCAGAGGGGAUAACACUUGGAAACAGGUGCUAAACCGAUAAUGACGGAUGGACCCGCGGUGUAUUAGCUAGUUGGUGAGGUAACGGAUAACCAAGGCAACGAUGCAUAGCCGACCUGGGAGGGGGAGCGGCCAAACUGGGACUGAGACACGGCCCAGACUCCUACGAGAGGCAGCAGUAGGGAAUCUUCGGCAAUGGACGAAAGUCUGACCGAGCAACGCCGCGUGAGUGAAGAAGGGUUUCGGAUCGUAAAACGCUGUUGUUAGAGAAGCGGUAUCUAACCAGAAAGCCACGGCUAACUACGUGCCAGCAGCCGCGGUAAUUC
rnacentral:rRNA from 1 species